UAUUUAAAAAUAGUACUCCCUAAUUGUGUCUUUGUGGAAAUUGGAAAACCCCCUUUCGGUUUCGUCUGGGGAAGACGACUUCACAAAGACUUUUCGGUUUUCACCAAAAUAAGCUUCAAAUUGAGAACCCAAUUCGAAGAACAGAACGGUUGUUGAAGGGGUUUUUUGUUCAUCAUAAUGAAGAAGGGAAACUUGGCCCCUUUUCUUAAGCUUAAUCUCCCUCCUUCCGAUGAGACAUCUCUCGCCAAAUUCUUAACUAAAUCUGGGACGUUUAUGGAUGGUGAUCUGCUAGUGAACAGAGAUGGUGUUCGAAUUGUUUCCCAAAGCCAAUCUGAUACUCCACCACUUAUUCAGGCUUCAGACAACCAAUUGAGCUUAGCUGAUUUUGAUGCGGUUAAAGUUGUUGGAAAGGGAAACGGUGGAGUCGUUCGAUUGGUGCAACACAAGUGGACUGGCCAGUUUUUUGCUUUAAAGGUGAUUCAAAUGAACGUAGAAGAGUCAGCUCGCAAGCAGAUUGCACAAGAACUUAAAAUCAAUCAAUCGUCACAAUGUCCAAAUGUUGUUGUGUGUUACCAAUCUUUUUACGAUAACGGUGCUGUAUCUAUAAUCUUGGAGUACAUGGAUGGAGGGUCUCUAGCCGAUUUUCUGAAAACCGUUCGAUUCAUUCCUGAACCGUAUCUUGCCGCCAUCUGUAAGCAGGUGCUAAGGGGUUUGUGGUACCUUCAUCACGAGAAACAUAUUAUUCACAGGGACUUGAAACCGUCGAAUUUGCUGAUAAACCAUCGAGGUGAAGUCAAGAUCACGGACUUUGGCGUUAGCACCAUUCUUGCAAGCACAUCUGGCUUGGCUAAUACAUUCGUUGGCACGUAUAAUUAUAUGUCUCCCGAAAGAAUACUUGCCGGCAACCACGGUUAUAAAAGCGAUAUAUGGAGCUUGGGUUUAGUUUUGUUGGAGUGUGCCACGGGCCAAUUUCCGUAUUCUCCACCACAACCCGGUGGAUGGGUCAACGUUUACGAGCUUAUGGAAACCAUCGUUGGUCAACAACCACCUCGGCCGCCUUCCGAUCAAUUCUCUCCUCAAUUCUGCUCGUUUAUUGAUGCAUGUCUUCAGAAAGAACCAAAGGAUAGAUCAUCGGCAAAUGAACUCAUGUCGCAUCCUUUCAUCAAUAUGUUUGACGACCUCGCUAUAGAUCUCGCAUCUUAUUUCACCGAAGCGGGCUCCCCUCUUGCAACAUUGUAAUGAUCCCAUGUAUCUGGGUUAUUGGCCUAGCAGUAUCUGGUUAAUGGGGCCCACCUCCUUAGAGGUCAAAGGUUCAACACUCACCAAAGAUUUCUAAGGUAGCGAGCGUAUAGUGGAAGAAGAAGGCAAAGAUUUCGGUUUUUCUUUUUUGUUGUUGUAUCAUGACUUGGUUUGCAUCUGGUACACGAAGGUGAAAACUUCGCCGUUUUGUUGAGUUCUUGUAAAACUUCGAUUAUCAAUGAAUGUGUAAUACAAUUUUAUCGUCAUC